rnacentral:tRNA from 1 species
AGUGGGGUGGCUGAGAAUAAUAAGUAGGCGAUAGGCUGUAAAUCUAUUUAGGGGCAUUACGUUGCUCUUCCACUA